UAGGGAAUAUUGGUCAAUGGAUGCAAGUCUGAACCAGCCAUGCCGCGUGUAGGAAGAAGGCCCUAUGGGUUGUAAACUGCUUUUGUCAGGGGAUAAAAUGGGCAUGCGUGCCUAAUUGAAGGUACCUGGCGAAUAAGCCACGGCUAACUACGUGCCAGCAGCCGCGGUAAUACGUAGGUGGCAAGCGUUGUCCGGAUUUAUUGGGUUUAAAGGGUGCGUAGGCGGUCUUAUAAGUCAGUGCUGAAAUAUCCCGGCUUAACCGGGAGGGUGGCAUUGAUACUGUAGGACUUGAGUAAAGUUGAGGUUGGCGGAAUUGACGGUGUAGCGGUGAAAUGCUUAGAUAUCGUCAAGAACACCUAUAGCGAAGGCAGCUAACUAAGCUUUAACUGACGCUGAGGCACGAAAGUGUGGGGGACCAAACAGGAUUAGAUACCCUGGUAGUCCACACUGUAAACGUUGAUUACUCGCUGUUGGCGAUACACAGCCAGCGGCUUAG
rnacentral:rRNA from 1 species